rnacentral:rRNA from 1 species
UGGGGAAUAUUGCACAAUGGGCGCAAGCCUGAUGCAGCAACGCCGCGUGAGGGAUGACGGCCUUCGGGUUGUAAACCUCUUUUAGCAGGGAAGAAGCGAAAGUGACGGUACCUGCAGAAAAAAGCACCGGCUAACUACGUGCCAGCAGCCGCGGUAAUACGUAGGGUGCAAGCGUUGUCCGGAAUUAUUGGGCGUAAAGAGCUCGUAGGCGGUCUGUCGCGUCUGCUGUGAAAUCCCGAGGCUCAACCUCGGGCCUGCAGUGGGUACGGGCAGACUAGAGUGCGGUAGGGGAGAAUGGAACUCCUGGUGUAGCGGUGGAAUGCGCAGAUAUCAGGAAGAACACCGAUGGCGAAGGCAGUUCUCUGGGCCGUAACUGACGCUGAGGAGCGAAAGCGUGGGGAGCGAACAGGAUUAGAUACCCUGGUAGUCCACGCCGUAAACGUUGGGCGCUAGAUGUGGGGACCAUUCCACGGUUUCCGUGUCGCAGCUAACGCAUUAAGCGCCCCGCCUGGGGAGUACGGCCGCAAGGCUAAAACUCAAAGGAAUUGACGGGGUCAUAGCUG